rnacentral:rRNA from 1 species
GAUGAACGCUAGCUACAGGCUUAACACAUGCAAGUCGAGGGGUAACGAGAGGAAAGCUUGCUUUCCUUGUCGACGACCGGCGCACGGGUGAGUAACGCGUAUCCAACCUGCCCCCAACUAGGGAAUAACCUUGCGAAAGUAAGACUAAUACCCUAUAAUUUCCUCAGAUGUCAUCUGACGAGGAAUAAAGAUUUAUCGGUUGUGGAUGGGGAUGCGUCUGAUUAGCUUGUUGGCGGGGUAACGGCCCACCAAGCCAACGAUCAGUAGGGGGUCUAGGAAGAAGAUCCCCCACAUUGGAACUGAGACACGGUCCAAACUCCGACGAGAGGCAGCAGUGAGGAAUAUUGGUCAAUGGGCGGAAGCCUGAACCAGCCAAGUAGCGUGCAGGAUGACGGCCCUAUGGGUUGUAAACUGCUUUUAUACAGGAAUAAAGUUAGCCACGUGUGGUUAUUUGUAGGUACUGUAUGAAUAAGGACCGGCUAAUUCCGUGCCAGCCGCCGCCGUAA